rnacentral:rRNA from 1 species
CUUGAACGCUGGCGGCAGGCCUAACACAUGCAAGUCGAGCGAGCGGCGGACGGGUGCGUACUGUCUGGGAAACUGCCUGAUGGCGGGGGAUAACUACUGGAAACGGUAGAUAAUACCGCAUACCAUCCGAUGUCCCCAGAUGGGAUGAGCUAGUCGGUGGGGGAAUGGCUCACCUAGGCGACGAUCCCUAGCUGGGCUGAGAGGGUGACCAGCCACACUGGGACUGAGACACGGUCCAGACUCCUACGGGAGGCAGCAGUGGGGAAUAUUGCACAAUGGGCGAAAGCCUGAUACAGCCAUGCCGCGUGUGUGAAGAAGGCCUUCGGGUUGUAAAGCACUGUCAGCGGGGAGGCGUUACCCGCAGAAAAAGCACCGGCUAACUCCGUGCCAGCAGCCGCGGUAAUUC